rnacentral:lncRNA from 1 species
UGACAACCAAAUAUGUUAGUGUCCACCCUUUCGAUUUUUGCUCCAAAUCAAUUAACACACAUCGAUACAUGUGAUGCUGGUACUAGCUAGAACUCCAAAUCAAUCUGAAAUUUGCCGUGACUUUUAGCCAAAAUGAACGAACAACUAUCCUACACUCGGCGCCUGUGGAUAUAUAUAAUGAUAAACUUAGCUACCGAUCAUGCAGUGGGCAUUUGAUCCAGUUCUUCUUCAACGAACGGUGUGGCAGAAUAUUGUGGAUCGCAACAACUUCCAAUUGCCUCCCAAACCUAAUUAGCUCGCAAGUUACGGCGUCAAGAAUGGAGCUAGUGAGGUGGUCAUAGCUUUACAAUGCAUGGAAGCUAGGCCGGGAGGUGAGUCACAUUGUCAUAGUGCUAUAAGUCCAAACUAUUUAUUUGGAUCACAUUAUAGCUAGCUGCAUGUACCAUUGUACCUGAAUUCUCGACGACCUCUUUUUUUUUUUCUAGAGAAACAUAUGGAGACUCAAUUUUUAUUUAUUUCUGGGAAAAUUAUGCAGUGCUGCACGUUCACAUGCACAUAUAACAAUACUUCGCCACAAUGAGAUUUUUAUAUCGAUCUUUUUACAAAAACAAAUAUACCUUUUGCGCUAUUUAUCAACACAAAUUAGUCCAAAUCGCUCAUUUGAUGGCACGUCUAACAUGCUGGGCCCACAAGUUAAGCCUACAUGGAUGAGCAUCAUGUGGGGCGCAUUACUGACAUGGACACAUGCUGGGUUCGAGUAACAUGUCCUCCAAUUAUGUCCUGCUAGCAAGAUGGGGGGUUCUAUACGUCUGUGUUAGAAAAACUAUAUGUGGAUGAUGGAACUAAUUAAGUGAGAGAUAUAUGGACCGAGGACACAAAUACACAUUAACAAUUACACCUCCCGU